UACGUAUGGGGCAAGCGUUAUCCGGAUUUACUGGGUGUAAAGGGAGCGUAGGCGGCCUGGCAAGCCUGAUGUGAAAUACCGGGGCCCAACCCCGGGGCUGCAUUGGGAACUGCCAGGCUGGAGUGCCGGAGAGGCAGGCGGAAUUCCUAGUGUAGCGGUGAAAUGCGUAGAUAUUAGGAAGAACACCAGUGGCGAAGGCGGCCUGCUGGACGGUGACUGACGCUGAAGCUCGAAAGCGUGGGGAGCAAACAGG
rnacentral:rRNA from 1 species